rnacentral:rRNA from 1 species
AAAUUGAAGAGUUUGAUCAUGGCUCAGAUUGAACGCUGGCGGCAGGCCUAACACAUGCAAGUCGAACGGUAACAGGAAACAGCUUGCUGUUUCGCUGACGAGUGGCGGACGGGUGAGUAAUGUCUGGGAAACUGCCUGAUGGAGGGGGAUAACUACUGGAAACGGUAGCUAAUACCGCAUAACGUCGCAAGACCAAAGAGGGGGACCUUAGGGCCUCUUGCCAUCGGAUGUGCCCAGAUGGGAUUAGCUAGUAGGUGGGGUAAAGGCUCACCUAGGCGACGAUCCCUAGCUGGUCUGAGAGGAUGACCAGCCACACUGGAACUGAGACACGGUCCAGACUCCUACGGGAGGCAGCAGUGGGGAAUAUUGCACAAUGGGCGCAAGCCUGAUGCAGCCAUGCCGCGUGUAUGAAGAAGGCCUUCGGGUUGUAAAGUACUUUCAGCGGGGAGGAAGGGAGUAAAGUUAAUACCUUUGCUCAUUGACGUUACCCGCAGAAGAAGCACCGGCUAACUCCGUGCCAGCAGCCGCGGUAAUACGGAGGGUGCAAGCGUUAAUCGGAAUUACUGGGCGUAAAGCGCACGCAGGCGGUUUGUUAAGUCAGAUGUGAAAUCCCCGGGCUCAACCUGGGAACUGCAUCUGAUACUGGCAAGCUUGAGUCUCG